rnacentral:lncRNA from 1 species
AUGACAGCCGCUCUGCUCGUGCAUUUCCGUUCACCUUUCCGCACCUUGCAGGUUCUGCUCCUUCGUGGCCUAGUCUUGUGGACACCAGCAAACAGUGGGAUUAUUAUGCACGAAGAGAGAAAGAUAGGGAACGAGAAAGAGAGAGAGACCGAGAGAGGGAUCGUGAUCGUGAUAGGGAACGAGAACGUACCAGAGAGAGAGACAGAGAACGUGAUCACAGCCCAACUCCAAGUGUUUUCAACAGUGAUGAAGAACGAUAUAGGUACAGAGAAUAUGCAGAAAGGGGCUAUGAGCGUCACAGAACAAGCAGAGAGAAAGAGGAACGACACAGAGAAAGGAGACAUAGAGAAAAAGAAGAGACUAGACACAAAUCAUCUCGAAGUAACAGCAGGCGGCGUCAUGACAGUGAAGAAGGGGACAGCCACAGGAGGCACAAACACAAAAAAUCCAAAAGAAGCAAAGAAGGAAAAGAAGCUAGUGGUGAACCUGCCCCUGAACAGGAAAACACUGAAGCUGCUCCAGUGGAAUAGGCAUGUGUGAUAUUUGCUUACUUGCAUAUAUUAGUGCCAGAAAUAGAUUACUAUAAAUCUUGUUAUUUUUCUGGGUAUUAAAAGAAAUUUGCUCUUAAUCUUGUUCUGUUAGUACAAAAUAUAAGGUUAAUUUGUUUUUUGAAAAUAAAAGAGUGAAUUUUUCAUGUUAAGUUAAGAUU